UAGAUGACACUGCCCUAAUGGCAGAAAGCAAAGAGGAACUAAAGAGACUCCUGAUGAAGACAAUCAGCCAUUGACCCGAAGCUCACAGCUAAUGGACUCGCCAAUGGAGCUGAUAAUGAAAACAUCGAUUACUGCAACCUUCAUGCUUUCUGAAUCCCGUUUCUAGAAUAAAGAGGCAAAUCUCAAUCAAA